rnacentral:tRNA from 2 species
UUUGUUUUAGUAUAAUUAUUAAUUAUUUUAACUUUUCGUGUUAAGGAUAGUUUUUUAACUAAACAAAA